AGACGGAGGGUGCAAGCGUUAAUCGGAAUUACUGGGCGUAAAGCGCGCGUAGGUGGUCUGGUCAGUUGGAUGUGAAAGCCCCGGGCUCAACUUGGGAACUGCAUUCAAUACUGCCAGACUAGAGUAUGGGAGAGGGAAGUGGAAUUCCACAUGUAGCGGUGAAAUGCGUAGAUAUGUGGAGGAACACCAGUGGCGAAGGCGGCUUCCUGGCCCAAUACUGACACUGAGGUGCGAAAGCGUGGGGAGCGAACAGGAUUAGAAACCCCGGUAGUCC
rnacentral:rRNA from 1 species